rnacentral:rRNA from 1 species
AUUGAACGCUGGCGGCAUGCUUUACACAUGCAAGUCGAACGGUAACAGGCCGCAAGGUGCUGACGAGUGGCGAACGGGUGAGUAAUGCAUCGGAACGUGCCCAGUCGUCGGGGAUAACUACUCGCAAGAGUAGCUAAUACCGCAUACGAUCUAUGGAUGAAAGCGGGGGACCGUAAGGCCUCGCGCGAUUGGAGCUGCCGAUGUCAGGUUAGGUAGUUGGUGGGGUAAAGGCUCACCAAGCCAACGAUCUGUAGCUGGUCUGAGAGGACGACCAGCCACACUGGGACUGAGACACGGCCCAGACUCCUACGGGAGGCAGCAGUGGGGAAUUUUGGACAAUGGGCGCAAGCCUGAUCCAGCAAUGCCGCGUGCAGGAAGAAGGCCUUCGGGUUGUAAACUGCUUUUGUACGGAACGAAACGGCUCUGGUUAAUACCCGGGGCUAAUGACGGUACCGGAAGAAUAAGCACCGGCUAACUACGUG